rnacentral:tRNA from 1 species
GUAGCUCAGUUGGUAGAGUGCUUGCCCUGCUGCAAAAGGCCCUGGGUUUGAUUCCCAGC